rnacentral:lncRNA from 1 species
GAGAGGUUUAACUCUUUGCAAGGAAACACAAGGGAGAGGGGAAGCCGCCUGCAAGGAGAGGGGAUCUCUGCAAUCAGACCCAGUUGGACCCUGUCAUUAGAGGAAAAGCUCUGGGCAGUGACAACAGCGUGCCUGGCCUGCACCCCCCGCAUGGGAACAGUCAGGCAUGGCGUGGGCAUUGCCGAAGUCUCUGCGGUGUCAGGAUGGGAGAGAAGAUAAAGUCGAAACAGGGAAGCAGUUGCAGUCCAGGUGCCAAGCGGACGUUGCACAACCAGCCAUGGGAAGAAAGGCUCAAGGCUGUGACUUUGCUGGCUUCUGCACCCCAAGCAAGAAGAGGUCUGGGAACCGGAUUGGGCUCCAAAUGAUGAAAGUCCAGAGGACUUCAGAGAAAUGUGGCGUUCUCCACUCUGCCCCUCUGCAGACCCGUCUGGAGAUGUGACGCGGCCAGGGCUGCCGCUGGUGUCACCGGAUUUCUUGCCCUUCCCCAUGAGCGAUCCCACUUCCUCUCGCCCACGCAGUCCGCAGAGAAACACGAAGAGGAAAAGAAGCGAGGAAAUGCCCCGCUUUGGGGCCAAGGCAACACCACCACCAAGGCCAAUUCUCUCCCAAACCUUAGAAAGCCUCAGCGAUGGCGAGGGCCCCGCUGCCGGCGGCUGCAGCUGGAGCCAGCAGGUGCCCAGCCAGCUGUGGGAAGCGACGGAGCAGGCGCUGCUGCCGCUUCGCCGGACCUGCUCACCACGACGGGGCCAGGCG